CUGGUACUCCCUCCGUUCAGAAUUACUUGUCUUGAAAAUGGAUGUAUCUAGAGCUAAAAUGCAUCUAGAUACACCCAUUUCUACAACAAGUAAUUCUGAACGGAGGAAGUAUGUG
rfam:Triticum aestivum genome assembly, contig: Triticum_aestivum_CS42_TGACv1_scaffold_329651_4BS